rnacentral:rRNA from 1 species
GAUGAACGCUGGCGGCGUGCCUAAUACAUGCAAGUCGAGCGAAGCGGGGACGGGGGAGGAAGACGUGGAUAACCGCCUUUAAUACUGGGAUAACUUCAGGAAACCAGAGCUAAACACGAUCCUUAUUGAUGGAUCCGCGCUGCAUUAGCUAGGUGGUAAGGUAACGGCUUACCAAGGCAACGAUGCAUAGCCGACCUGAGAGGGUGAUCGGCCACACUGGAACUGAGACACGGUCCAGACUCCUACGGGAGGCAGCAGUAGGGAAUCUUCCGCAAUGGGCGAAAGCCUGACGGAGCAACGCCGCGUGAGUGAUGAAGGUCUUCGGAUCGUAAAACUCUGUUAUUAGGGAAGCGGUACCUAAUCAGAAAGCCACGGCUAACUACGUGCCAGCCGCCGCGGUAAUUC